rnacentral:rRNA from 1 species
UACGUAGGGUGCUAGCGUUGUCCGGAUUUAUUGGGCGUAAAGGGUGCGUAGGCGGCCUGACAAGUCUGAUGUGAAAUCCCUGGGCUCAACCCAGGGCCUGCAUCGGAAACUGUCGGGCUUGAGUAUGGGAGAGGUGAGUGGAAUUUCCGGUGUAGCGGUGAAAUGCGUAGAUAUCGGAAGGAACACCUGUGGCGAAAGCGGCUCACUGGACCAUUACUGACGCUGAGGCACGAAAGCUAGGGGAGCAAACAGG